rnacentral:rRNA from 1 species
GAUGAACGCUGGCGGCGUGCCUAAUACAUGCAAGUCGAGCGAACGGACGAGAAGCUUGCUUCUCUGAUGUUAGCGGCGGACGGGUGAGUAACACGUGGAUAACCUACCUAUAAGACUGGGAUAACUUCGGGAAACCGGAGCUAAUACCGGAUGAUAUUUUGAACCGCAUGGUUCAAAAGUGAAAGACGGUCUUGCUGUCACUUAUAGAUGGAUCCGCGCUGCAUUAGCUAGUUGGUAAGGUAACGGCUUACCAAGGCAACGAUGCAUAGCCGACCUGAGAGGGUGAUCGGCCGCACUGGAACUGAGACACGGUCCAGACUCCUACGGGAGGCAGCAGUAGGGAAUCUUCCGCAAUGGGCGAAAGCCUGACGGAGCAACGCCGCGUGAGUGAUGAAGGUCUUCGGAUCGUAAAACUCUGUUAUUAGGGAAGAACAUAUGUGUAAGUAACUGUACACAUCUUGACGGUACCUAAUCAGAAAGCCACGGCUAACUACGUG